UAUUCUUAUCACUGGAAGUCCUUAGCUGCUGGAACAACUAUCAAAUGGAAACGGUAGGCUUUCUGUGCCUGAAAUCUUUAAAUUGAGACUGGAUGCCAUUUUGGAAAAUAUACUUUUUUCUAAGCAUAACUUGCUAGGUUUAGUGCAGGGUAAAAGGGAGAAAGUGUCUGGGCUCUCUUAUUCUGGUCAGGCCAGAGGAGCUGGUGUUUCUUUUUGGUAUUUGAGUCUCUGCUUCUGCUGUGCUUUUCUCAGCACUGCCUUGUUACAGAGGAAAAGGAACUUUUAAGAGGGUCCUAAAUUAGUGUCCCUCUUUUCACAAGCCAUGUCUCUUACUUCUGCUGCCGCUGUAAAAUGCAAUGAACAAUGAAAUGUGAAUUACUGAGAUUUGGGGCUACUGGGAGACAAAGCAGGGGAGCUAUUUAUGUAAUGCUGAAACACAUGAGUACCAUUGUUAUAUUCUUUCCUCAUAUGUAUGCCUAUUUGCUCCACUGGACUUCGUUCCUUACUAACAUUACUGCUCUCUCUUUCUCCGUUACACACGCUGUACUUCCCUCACAAGACACAGACAGGCUGUAAGGAAGGUGAGUGAAGUACAGAUGGGGCCCGUAAAAGUUAUCCAGCUCACUAUUACAGUGACUUUCAGCAAGUAAAUCACAUUCCGGCAAUAAUUAUCCUCUUUUACCAGCAAAACCUUACAUGCUGUUGUCACCCUCAAACUGGGAUUAAUUGCCGUUUGAUGUUUAUAGAGUUUAUUUGGGUCUCACUACGUAUAUAAAUAUUUUCAAUUCCCCUUAUUAAUUCAUAUUAAAGGAAUUAUAUUUACUAAUUAAUACAUAUUAGAAGGCUAUCGGAGAAGCUGGGAUGUUUGAACAAAGCAUUUUACAGUGAAAAAAAUAACAUUUAAUUGAAGCCAGAACAUUUUGCAGAGGGACAUGGAUUUUGAUGAGGAAGCUUCUCAGCAUCAGAGUUUAUUCUCCAGCCAAAGAUAAAGGGACACACUGAAAGCUCCAGGACAGAUGACCUGACACACUUGAGUUUUGCAACUGUUCAGAUGGUUUUGUUUUCACCCCAUGCAAAUAGAAACAGUGUCCAGGAUCGAGAAACCUUUCAAUGCUGUGUCACAGUAUUGCUUUCCAGCUGCUCUUGUGUUCAGAUGACCCCCGCCAAAAGAAGGAAAGCGUCUGGGCUACAUUCUUGCCUACCUCACAGCAUAAGUAGCAAAUACGAUUGAUUCCGCAUAAUUUUUUCCACUUUGGACAGUUGUCUUUAUGAUAUGUAAGAAACGCAUUCAGGAACGUUGAGGAGAUGUGCAGGCAAAGGUGCUUCUCAGAAAUGUCCCUCUGCUCUGUGCCUAUACCUUUCAAAUGAGCUGGUUGACUGUCCAACAUUUGCUUUUGACUAUGUCUUUCUUACUCAGUCCCCAUGGAUGAUAUAAAGUUAGGGCCAAUGCAACAAAGGUGCAUGGGAAUCUGAGAGCAUGGUGGGGAGGGAAUAUUCAGAGAAAUGCAUGUCAGUUUGUUUUCACCAGCAGAUCUAGGUUUGCAGCUUUGUCUCUCCUCCCUUUGGUUUGGAGUGCAAAGAUGCAAAAUGAGAGAGGAAGGAUGCGUCCAGGCUCCCAGCCUGAUACUGCAUAGUAGACAACCAAAACGUUACCCUGUGGGCUCAGGUUUGUUAGCAAACUUUUCAUUAGAGCUCCCAUACUUCCUUAAAUAAAGGGGCAAAUUGCUGAUUCACAAAAAGCCUGACCAGUAGCUAGCUAGUCCAUGGCUGUGUAAUAAAAAAAAAAAGAAAAAAGAAACCAGGUUUAUGGGUUCUCCCCACCCUCCUCGCCCCACCCCGUUUGCAAGGUUUAAUCUUGUGUGGUUUAAAUUCUUCAACCUCUUCUCCCUCUCUUGCACUGUUUUUAUACUAGGAAUAUUUCUGGUGAAGUCAGUGAAGUUACCUGUGCAUAGUUCUGGAUUAAUCCACUGAAGGCAGCUAUGGACCACUCAGUGCACACAUGCUCUGCGUUUCUCAUACCCAGAAUCUUGCUGUGUUGGAGCACCUAUACUUCUCUGGAUGAAUAUUGACUUCUGGAUCCUAGGUCAAGCAAAGCCUACGAGCAGGAGGAGGCACUUGCCUUUAGGGAUGGCAUUCCCUGAGGGGUAUGGACAGCACUGAAAUUGCCUGAGCAUCAUUGAUAACAUGCCUGCAGCUCGAGAACAUUUGUAACAGGUUCAUCUGAAAAGCAGAGGGAAGGAGCCUGUUUCCUGAUCGGAUCAGAUUUGUCAGAGAAGUUCUGAGAAGCAUCUGAAAUUUGCACGGACAUCUAAACUGCACGUAGCUCUGGUCUGGCUCUAGAAUAUGUAUCAUUCACAUUUAAAAACUUUUGCUAGGUGUUGGUGGAUUCGUUGGCUAGGCUGCUUGAUGUAUGGCUCUGGAGGACAAGGUACCAUGACAGCCAGUGGAACUGAAUGAAUGGCCAAGGGUUUAUGGAAAUUCCAGCGGGAAUCUGUUCACUGUGCAUUCUCCUGCCUUGGACAGCCAACAAGUUGUAAGCAUGCAGCUCCUAAUCAGGGCUGGCAGGGCAGAUGGUUUAUCUUUGGCUGCUUGAGAGUUCCUGCUCUGCAGAGAGAGGCAGACACUCGUUUUGACUCCUUGUUGUGGGCUUUUCAGUUUCUAGUCCAUUACAAGUGACAUAGCCGAUAAAGAGCCUGUCUGUCAGUGGUGUCCCCGGAGGGGUGAAUCUUCAUCCCUUCCUGUACUCAUACCAGGACUGUCUGCUCAUGCUUUUUCGGAUCAUGCUGGGCACCAGGUGAGGAAGAACUCCGCUGGGAGCCGGAUCACAGCAUCCCAGCCCUGCCAGGCCCUCUCCCACACGCCCCUCCUAGCCACUUCAUAGCCAAUGGCAGCUCUAAAACAAACCUCUUCCCGAGUGGGAAUGUCGGUGCUUAAAAUAAAUCACUGCCUAUCAUUUUCUGAGUGGGUCAGAAGAAGACUUGUAAGCCUGUGUUGUGAACAGCUCUGACCCACUGCUUGGGGAAGAAAUGCCACAGCAGACAGCAUUGCUCUGGAUCCAUCACACAUGAAAGAAAAAAGGAAGCAAAAAUCUGACAGCUGUGGCCAGUCAGGAACUAUUUUGUGCAGUCAUGUAUUGGGCAUAUAUAGUUCCUUUAAUUUACAGAAAGUGCACAUCUAUAAACCAAUCAAGGUCAUACUGCACUUCUCGGUGGGAACUGCUAUUCCCAUUUUGCAGCAGAGAAGGAAAAGGGUAGAUCUGCACAGAAUUCGUCUGGAUUCAACAGGGACCUUGCAGGCUAAUCCAAGGGUAUCUGAGUGGCAAAGUCUGUUCUGCCCGUGACUUGUCUGUGGCCAGCAGGGAUUCUGCAGCAGAGCGGGGAUAGAGUACAGGGCCUUGCAUCCCAAAGCAUUGAUCUGAACAACUAUAACUGAAAUAACACCUCUAGAUUUCAUUGCUAAUGAAUAAGUAUGCUGUUCACUAGUCUGAGCCUCACCUUUUUUCUAAUUUGAGCUGAUCUUCUGUACCUUUGCCGGAGUCCAAGUGUUACUUUCCAGUGCCCAUUUAUGAAGAAUAAAGAUAAGACAAACACAUAUAAAUAUAUGUGUGUGUGUAUAUAUAUAUAUUUAAGUAUUCUCCCAUAUCACACUGGAGUGAACUUCCUUUUCUCUGGCUCCAUAAUACUCUCUUUUUUCCUUACUAUAUCAAUUUUAACUCAAUUUAUUACAGUUUUGUGCCUGAUAUUCCAAAAAUUAUUUUCCUAGGGUUAAUCCCUAACCCCCAGCAAUAUCAUUAGGAAAGCUAUAUAGCAGACUUGAAAUAGUUACUACUUGGAGCAAGCCACCUUUUCAAGUCAUAGAGAUCUUUAUUUAUAAUUCACAGAUUGGAGAAACUGGAGCAAUGAUUUCUACAGUAUAAUGCUUAUAGUUUUGUCUGACAGACCUGUGCUAAUUACUCUGUGUGGUUUUGAUAUAGAGCCAAGAAUGGGUUGUAGAAAAAUAUGUAUCACUAAAACUUAGGUCCCCAAAGUCAAAAGUAAAACAAACAGUGAGAGAUCAUUAUCUGAAGCAGACCCUUACUAGCUGUGUACAGAAAAAAGUCAUUCCCAUGUUUUCUGUUUCUUUUUUUCCUUUAGAUCCAAGUAGUGUUUCUGUUUGUAUUUGGAAAUAUCUUGAAUUUGUACAGUUAGGGCAGACAGUGCAUUUAUUCUGCUCUAUCCCCUUUUUCUUCUCUUUGAAAGACUAUAGCUGGCUCUGGUGCGGACUCUUUGUGUGGCCUUCAGCAAGUCACUUAACCUUCCUGUGCAUCAGUUUACUCAUUUGUAAAAGGAGUAUUACAAUAAUAGACACCCCUCAGGGGCUCUUCCAGAUUUAAAUAAUUAAUGUUGGUAAAGCAGUUUGUGAGCCUCAGACUAAAGGUGCUAAAUAAAGGCAAUAUAUUAAUAUUUUUUUACUCCAGCUCCUUAUAGAAGGAGCAAAGCAACAGCCUGAUAAGCGUUGGAUUUAAAGUUGGGAGUUGAUAUUACAGUGCUCAGAGUAUUUUUUAAUUUCUGUGGUCCCAGUUCAGCAGAGCUCUUAAAUCCAUGCUUAAUUUUAGAAAGACCCUUUAUUUGCCACAGGUAAGGCUCCUAAUCUGAAAAGGUUUUUGAAUCAGGCCCCGUAAGAGCAGCGAUAGAAGAGAAGGAUCAGCUGUGCAUGUAUGUAUCUAUGUGUGUUUAUCCUUUUGCAUUUAUGAUCUCAGCAAGAACAUCAUUGCCACAGGAAUGUAAUCGGGAAGUCUCAUAAGGCUUGCAAAAUUCAGCCGGGAUGCAAAUCAAUAAAUGUAACAGGAGAGAAACUACAAGCUGUGCAUUUCCAUGGAGGCUGAGAUUUUGUGGGAUGGAUAGACGCUGCUGAGCAUGACCUAAUGCCGCAGGAAAAAAAAGCAACCACAGACCUCAGCAUCUAAACAGUAUGAAUAUUGAACCAGAGGUCCUUGAGUAAUUGUCCUUUCUUCACUCUAGGGGUGAAAAGGGUACAUUAGACAUUCACUAGCAGCAAAUGGCACCUGACAUCUCUUUAAGUGAAAGUCAGCUUGGAAUUUUUUUUAAUGGCCAAGCAUAAAUCUUUUAAAUUAUAAAUCAAUAAAUAGUUAAUUCAAUAAUAGGAAUCUUUUAAAUAUUUAAUGAGUCAUAUGCAGAAUGGCUCUAUAACUGGAUGUUGAUGGAACUGUGUCAAAGGAAUUUGAAUCAAACUUUUCUAAACUCCCCAUAUUAAAAUAGUUAUUGAUUCAGAUAUAAACUAUGAAGACUGUUGCAAAAGUAAGGGGAGAUGGAGAGGUUUAGCAUACAUUUUCUCAUCCAAGAAGCAGCUUAUUUUUAAUGAUGUAUUCUUGAGCUUUUCAGAUUGUAUUAAUGUUCCCGCUACAAAAAUGAGUAAGAAGCUAUGCAGGCGAGAUUUUGUGUGUGCGUAUUCAUUAAAAUCCUGUUUUAAUGGCAGCUGUGCUCUUAAAUAAAAGCUGUGGCAGCCUGCCUCUCAUUAAAGGAUUCUGCUAACCAGCAUUGACAUUGAUAUCCUGAACUAUCUCCAUCUGAAACUGCCCAGAAGUUUCAAUUUAUUUACCAGAGUUUUCAAGUGAAAGCCAGUGGGAGUGGUAUCUACGUAUGCUAGACCCGAAUUUGUUCCUUUAUAAUUUUCUCUGAGGAGAUCUGUAGUCAGUGUUCACUCUUAUUAACUAUGUGCUGCUCUAAGUCAACACUAUUCUUAAUUACCCUAAAUUGGAGGCAUUUCAUGCUUGAACCUCAGACCUCAUGCGGUGCACUGUUAUUCUAUAGCAGAUAUGGCAUCUUCAGAUUUUGUACAGUCUAACCUUUACUUUCAAAAUAACAAUCUAGCUCAGUGUUGAUC